rnacentral:piRNA from 1 species
UCCUUGCCUGGCAGUUCUGCACUUUCGGACUC